CACGACUCUCUCUCGCUCAUGCCAUUGCUCUUUGAAAGAUUGGUGUGCUCCUUGGCUCCGGUUAUCUCCCUCAUCUUCUUCCCUAAAAAAUUUUACUGAAAUCCACCACUCUCUCUGGUUGCUUUUCAAGAAGACCAUAAAGUUGGGGGAUUCUAAAAUCUCUUGCCCUUCUGGCAGCUGCGAUUGCCCUCCUCUUUUGUCCCUCCUCAAGAUUGCUCCUGGUAAUCCUCUCUCUCUCU